UACGUAGGGUGCGAGCGUUAAUCGGAAUUACUGGGCGUAAAGCGUGCGCAGGCGGUUUUGUAAAUCUGAUGUGAAAUCCCCGGGCUCAACCUGGGAAUUGCAUUGGAGACUGCAAGGCUAGAAUCUGGCAGAGGGGGGUAGAAUUCCACGUGUAGCAGUGAAAUGCGUAGAGAUGUGGAGGAACACCGAUGGCGAAGGCAGCCCCCUGGGUCAAGAUUGACGC
rnacentral:rRNA from 1 species